CCUACGGGAGGCAGCAGUGAGGAAUAUUGGUCAAUGGACGAGAGUCUGAACCAGCCAAGUAGCGUGAAGGAUGACUGCCCUAUGGGUUGUAAACUUCUUUUAUAAAGGAAUAAAACGAGGCACGUGUGCCUUUUUGUAUGUACUUUAUGAAUAAGGAUCGGCUAACUCCGUGCCAGCAGCCGCGGUAAUACGGAGGAUCCGAGCGUUAUCCGGAUUUAUUGGGUUUAAAGGGAGCGUAGAUGGGUUGUUAAGUCAGUUGUGAAAGUUUGCGGCUCAACCGUAAAAUUGCAUUUGAUACUGGCAGUCUUGAGUACAGUUGAGGUAGGCAGAAUUCGUGGUGUAGCGGUGAAAUGCUUAGAUAUCACGAAGAACCCCGAUUGCGAAGGCAGCUUACUAAACUGUGACUGACAUUGAUGCUCGAAAGUGUGGGUAUCAAACAGGAUUAGAUACCCCAGUAGUC
rnacentral:rRNA from 1 species